UCCCCUGCGGUCUCUGCAAGCGACUAUUUACCCAUUUUGUGGAGUUGUUUAUUUGACCUUAAAUAGACAAAAUAUAAAAUUUGCAGGGCAAAGCUUGAUUUUGAAAUCACAAAUCAGGCAGCGGGCAGCUGUCUCUUGGAGAUAGCGAGCAGGUCGGCACAGGCUGACCAGUGCGGAGUGUCUAGCUGUCCUCCGGCGCCCUCCCGGCAGGCUGCGCAGGGGGCGAGCCGGUAUCUGAAGGUGGAGAGCUGCGACUGGGCCCCGGAGCCGGCGAACCGAGGCCGCGCUUCCCAGCGUUCCCCCGCCGCAGCUCUGAGCGCCGAUGGGCGUCGGAGGGCGCCCUCUACAGGGCUUGUCCUGGCAGGAAGCCACGGAGCUGGAGCUGCGUUCUCUGGGCCCAGAGCUGGGAAGCAAAGACAGCUCGGUAUUUGUAGCCCAGGAGCAAAGUUGAGGAAGGUCAAUGGAUGGAAAAUUACUGAGACAUCAUGGGAAGGGGAUCCUUGCUACACCAACUUAGGAUGCUUGCUGAAAGCGAGGAAAGGACUUACACAUCAAAAGUGAGAGAGUCUCACUAUGUCACCCUUGGUAGAGUGCCGUCGUGCCACAGCUCACAGCAACCUCAAACUCUUGGGCUUAAGAGAUUCUCCUGCCUCAGCCUCCCAAGUAGCUGGGACUACGGGCGCCCACCACAACGCCGGGCUAAGGAGUGUGAUAUCAAUAUUCAGCCAGAAUGGUCCAUGCUGAUAGAAGGUGUCUUGGCAAGAGAAGGGAGGGUCUCCCAAGGGGAGUGAACCUCUCCCCAGCUGGCAGCUCACUUCAGGAUCCGUCUUUCUAGAACAUUGUUCCUUUUACAGAUUGAUCUGUCUUAUUAUUCUAUCUUAUCUGCCCUAUUCUUUUCUCUCGGGUCACCCUCACUCUCUCUCCAUUCCUGUGAGAUCCAGAAACUGUGUUCAGAGUACAGACAUCCAGCUGUCGGACUACAUCAGUGAUCAGUCCUCUUCUGGGAAGGAGCUGGCAAGAGAAGGGGACUUGUAUAGAUCCAGCUUCGCUGAGAGAAGUGUUGAUUGAUGGUGAAGCGUGACCUUGGUGACCAGGAUGGAGGACACAGCUCAACAGGAAGCAGGACUUGAGCUCCACGUUUACUUUCUCUCCCUCUCAAAUUUCUCUUCAGAAAUUUAAAAGGGAAAAAAAUGGUUUCUUCAUUAUUUUUAAAAUUUUUUGGCUUCUCCAUUUUUUUUUUUCUUUUUGGUUGGUUGAGGUUCAUUGAGGGCACAAAGAAACAGGUCACACUGGCUGUAUUUGUUAGGUUAUGUCUCUUAUAAUCAUGUCCCUGCCCAAAAGAGAUUACCAUACACUGUAACCCCCGAGCCCCUUCCUUUUUCCGCUCUCCCUGCUCCCUCAUUCCCCCUGCCCUUCAUCUUGAAUUGAGUUUUUCUCUUAUGUGGGUAUUAUAUUAUCAAUGGGCUUCAUGUUAGAAUUGAGUACAUUGGAUUCUUGCUUCUCCAUUCUAAGAAGAAUGUGUUUCAACUCUAUCCAGGUUAAUACAAAAGAUGUAAAGUCUCCAUCUUUUUUAGUGGCUAAAUAGCUUGUUAAUACAUUCCUGGGUUGGUGGGCAUCUAGGUUGUUUCCACAUUUUAGUAAUUGUAAAUUGAGCUGCAAUAAACAGUCUAGUGUAAAUGUUCUUAUAAUAAAAUGGGUAGAUGCCCGGUAAUGGGAUUGCAAGAUCAAAUGGAAGGUCUAAUUUGAGUUCUUUGAGGAUUCUCCAUACUUCCUUCUAAAAAGAUUGUAUUAGUUUGCAGUCACACCAACAGAGUAAAAGUGUUCCUUUCUCUCCACAUCCAUGUCUGCAUCGGCAGCCUUGAGAGUUUAUGAUACAGGCUAUUCUCACUAGGGUUAGUCAGGGUGAUUUUGCUUUGCAUUUCUCUAAUAAUUAAGGAUGAAGAGCAUUUUUUCCAAUGUUUGUUAGCCAUUGGUCUUGUCAGAGAAGGUUCUGUUCAUAUGUCUUGCCCAAUGGUAGAGGGGAUUGUUUACUCUUUUUUGUUGAUUGAUUUGAGCUCUCUGUAGAUUCUAGUUAUCAACCCUUUGUCAGUGGCUUCUCCAUUUUAAUGGUUGACUUUAAAGUCAGCAUAAUUGUUCAACUUCAACACUUCCAAAAUCUACCCAGGGAUACAGCUCACUUACCACUUUUACCUCACGAGGGAGGGAAAUGGAGGUUCAUUUUAGUCCCAGAACCCAGCAAAGGAAAAUGGAGCUAGAACAGCUGCUCCUCAGUGACAGCUAGGAAGUCUCCGUGCAGUCACAGGCCAUCAUGCCUCAGGUGGGUCAUCUGUGUCCCUGCCAUUCCACUGCCAGCCCCCACCAGUGACAGGAGGUAAUGUUUGUAGUCAGAUUGUGUCUCUGGAGGCAUCAAAAAGGGUAAGGAAAACUGAAUAACAGUUACUGUAGUUCAAAUUUAAAAUGAGAAAAACCCUGGAAGUGGGCUCAUAAAUACAAAGAAAAAAGUAGGAUUGAAAUUCACAUUUAUUAAUAAUAAACCAUAAAAUUGUAAGUAGGUUAAUUCAUAGAUUAAUUACUUCAGUGAGUAUUUUUGCCUAGACCAAAAUAGUUCAUUCCUUUUUGCUGCAAAAAAAUAAUUAUUUGCACCUAAAAAAUAUAUUAACAUUUUCAUCUUCCCACUUCCACUCUCAAAAUUUCAUUCUCCUUUAAAUUCCAUUCUCAUCUUUAUAUUACUUGGAAUUGCAGGUGGUGCAUACAACACACAUAAGCAAAUUAAUUUUAUAAUGCUUAAUGAAGUUGUAACAGAAUAUAAAAAUAAGCCCUGUGAAGUGAUUUCUGUUAUAGGUGAGAAUUCACCUCUGAGCUAUUCAGCAGACAUGAUUUUGUUCACCCAGCAGAACUAACAAGUUUACCAGGUCAAAGGGAGAGCAAGAAGCUGGGGGAGUAGAAAAUGAGCCAGCAGAAAAAGAAGUAAAGUUUUUAUCGAAAGCAAAGCAUAGAUAAACGUAGAUUUUUCCCCUGGCUGGUGAAAGGAGACACCACACAAAGGCAAUAGAUUAAUACGAGUACUUCCAUCCCAAUUACUCCUAUAUUUAUCUGUAAGAAUUCCCAUUGGUUCCUUGCAGGCCUUCAGGUGUGCUCUCCUGGUUUCAUCGGUUGUGGAUUACCUCAGUUGUCACAAAAAUCCAAUUUUCUUUAUUUUGUAUCAAUAAUGAUUAACCGUUAUUUUACUAGUGAUGGUACGACAGUGUCUGUUACUCUUAUGAUGUUUGUGGCAAUUAUGGUGUGCCUUGGUCUGUGACAGAAAUCCUUACUUUUGUUUUAGGGGGGAUCAUUCAUGGGCUACAAGUCAUGUGUCGCAGGCCAGAAGUCAUAUUUUACAGGAACAGCGUUGUACUUGGUUACCUAGAUCACAUGCACCCAAAAUUCCUAGUUUUGCCCUUUCCAACUUUCUUGUCCAGAAGGCCAUAAUUCUCUUCCACCUCCCUGUAGCUCCUUUAACUUCUUAUCAUCCCCAAUCAAUUUCUGUGCUCAAGUACAAUCCUGAUUUUAUAAUGGUAAGGCAAGAAACACAAGUGAAAACUCAAUAAAGUCAAUAAGACUCGAUGGCUAUAUAAAGACAAAGCAUUU